AAAAAAACCACUUUCCCUCUUUUGUUUAAUUGGCCAAUAAUUUCCCCCCCAAAAUAUUUUCUCUCUCAUUUUCCCAAAAAACCCCUAAUCGAUUGACAACUUUUACCAAAAUCUUGGUUAUUCCCGCAAAUACCAAAAAAUUGAAUUUCAUUAGUUUUCUUUAUUUCUUGACCCAAUUAAUUUCAAUUCUCAUGAAUAAUUAGAAUUUUGGGAAUUUAAUUCGGAGUUGUUCCAACUGAUCCAUUGAUCAGGAGCUAUGAGUUGAUGGAGCUUAUAUUCAAAGUUUACAUAUACAAAGAAGGGAAAAGGCCGAUUUUUCAUCAACCUUAUCUUAGAGGAAUUUAUUCAUCCGAGGGAUGGUUCAUGAAGCUGAUGGAGGAUAGUCACCAGUUCGUGACAAGGGAUCCACAAAAGGAUCGCCUGUUCUAUCUGCCAUAUAGUGCACGUUAGUUGCAAAGGGCACGAUAUGUGCCUAACUCACAUAAUCUUAAGCCGUUAUUAGUGUUCCUGCGGAACUAUGUGAACAUGCUAGCUGCAAAGUAUCCUUUCCGUAACGGCACACGUGGGUCAGAUCACUUUCUUGUUGAUUACCAUGAUUGGGGACCUUACACACUAAAGGACCAUGAGGAGCUAAGUAGAAACACUAUAAAAGCUCUCUGCAAUGCAGAUAUAUCUGAAGGAAUAUUUGUUUCUGGGAAGGACAUUUCCCUUCCUGAGACCACUAUAAGUAAUCCCAGGAAGCCUUUUAGAAAUGUAACACCCCGAUUUGCUGAAUUGGAACGCGCUACACGGUGCUCAUGACCCCGAGGGACCACAAGCUAACCCAUGACUGAUAUUUGUACCUGUAUACUGCAAAUCAUGACAUAAUAAUGUGGAAUAUGUAAAACUGUAAGGCCAUAAGGUUCAACUAAAUAAAACCAUGUCUGAAAAUCAUAACGUCCAUGUGCGUGAAAAUACCCAAAACAGCUCAAUCUGAAAGCUAAGUCUAAACGUAAAUCUGAAAGCCUCUAAACUAUUUGAAUAAGGAGUUGAAGGAACAUGUCUCC